rnacentral:lncRNA from 1 species
UUCUAUAGUGACUCUCAUUUUAUCUGCAGGACCCAUCAUUAGAGCUGAGGUUGGUGAGAGGAUUCAAGUUGUGUUUAAAAACAAUGCCAGGAGGCCAUAUUCUAUUCAUGCCCAUGGAGUGAAGACCAGUAAAACCCAUCAGGAUGGUGUUCAACCAGGUCAUAUACUGACAUACAACUGGACCAUUCCAAAACGAUCAGGUCCGGGUCCCAGUGAUCCAAACUGUAUAACGUUUGCCUACUACUCCUCUGUCAGCUUAGUUGAGGUAUAAAGAUGAAAGCAAGAAGUGAAGUUGAUAAUGUGAGUUUUUACAGUAUGAUUGUAGAUUUACAGCUCUACUAUGUGAAUGUUCUUCAGGACUUGAUGAGUGGUUUGGUGGGUCCACUGAUAGUGUGCCGCAAAAACACCCUGAACAGCGACAGACGUAGAAAAGACAUUGAUAAAGAGUUUGCCCUCCUUUUUAUGGUGUUUGAUGAAAAUGAGUCCCACUACCUGGAUGAAAACAUAAAAAUUUACCUCAAAGCAGACCCAGAAAAGUUUGACAAAUAUGAUGGGGACUUUAUGGAGAGCAACAAAAUGCAUGGCAUUAACGGAAAGUUGUAUGCUAACCUCCAUGGGUUAAAUAUGAUAGAGAAUGACAGGACCGAGUGGUAUUUGAUAGGACUGGGGAAUGAAGUGGACAUGCACACUGUGCAUUUCCAUGCUCAGAGCUUCACUUACAAAAUGAAUCAUUCUCAUCGAGCUGAUGUUUAUGACCUGUUCCCAGGAACAUUUCAGACCAUUGAACUGACUGCAGGAAGUCCUGGGCAGUGGCUGCUUCACUGCCAUGUGACCGACCACAUCCAUGCGGGCAUGGAGACCAUUUUCACUGUUCGUCCUAAAGGGUCAACAAGAUCAUCAGGGUCUUCAUGGAUUGAUGGCAAAAAUCCAGACAGUGCCUUCAGUCAUUUUAGAAACCUAUCGACUGUGAUGUUGUGUUUCCUUGGAUUGGUCCUAUCUUACUUUGUAGCACACUGAAAGUGACCAUUAGCCCUCAGAAUGGAUAUUUAUUGCUGUGACACUGAUGCUCACUACUUAGUUACCUCAUCUAGCAUUCUCACUGCAUAGCUGUUAGGGAAACUUCCCUUCUUUUGAGGGAAGCAACUACUGAACAAAUGAGAUAUAAAGAUUAGUCUUUCUAAUUUUGAUUUGACUUGCAAGUAAUGAUCCAUUUAAUUGUCUAAUCUUUCAGUUAAUAAAAUCAGCUUAAAGUAGAAUGUACUAUUCA